GAUGAACGCUGGCGGCGUGCCUAAUACAUGCAAGUCGAGCGAACGGACGAGAAGCUUGCUUCUCUGAUGUUAGCGGCGGACGGGCGAGUAACACGUGGAUAACCUACCUAUAAGACUGGGAUAACUUCGGGAAACCGGAGCUAAUACCGGAUAAUAUUUUGAACCGCAUGGUUCAAAAGUGAAAGACGGUCUUGCUGUCACGUAUAGAUGGAUCCGCGCUGCAUUAGCUAGUUGGUAAGUUAACGGCUUACCAAGGCAACGAUGCAUAGCCGACCUGACAGGCUGAUCGGCCACACUGGAACUGAGACACGGUCCAGACUCCUACGGGAGGCAGCAGUAGGGAAUCUUACGCAAUGGGCGAAAGCCUGACGGAGCAACGCCGCGUGAGUGAUGACGGUCUUCGGAUCGUAAAACUCUGUUAUUAGGGAAGAACAUAUGUGUAAGUAACUGUGCCCAUCUUGACGGUACCUAAUCAGAAAGCCACGGCUAACUACGUG
rnacentral:rRNA from 1 species